rnacentral:pre_miRNA from 1 species
CCCCAGGGGCUUGAUCCAAAGCCUGUCAAAGUCAGUGGGAAUCUUUCCAUUGACUUCACUGGGCUUUGGAUUAAGCCCUUAAUGA